GGCGGCGUAGCUCAGUUGGUUAGAGCGGCGGACUCAUAACCCGCAGGUCGGUGGUUCGAAUCCACCCGCCGCUA
rnacentral:tRNA from 1 species